UACGUAGGGGGCUAGCGUUAUCCGGAUUUACUGGGCGUAAAGGGUGCGUAGGCGGGCUUUUAAGUCAGGAGUGAAAGGCUACGGCUCAACCGUAGUAAGCUCUUGAAACUGGAGGACUUGAGUGCAGGAGAGGAGAGUGGAAUUCCUAGUGUAGCGGUGAAAUGCGUAGAUAUUAGGAGGAACACCAGUAGCGAAGGCGGCUCUCUGGACUGUAACUGACGCUGAGGCACGAAAGCGUGGGGAGCAAACAGG
rnacentral:rRNA from 1 species